rnacentral:rRNA from 1 species
GGGUUUACUCAUUGUUCAGGCUUAAUUGUCUUUACUGGUGAGAUGGAUCUCUACCUUCUGAGGAACUUUCAUGCCAUUUAUUUGGUGUGAUGGGAAAUCAGGACUGUUACUUUGAAAAAAUUAGAGUGUUUAAAGCAGGCUAACGUCUGAAUACAUUAGCAUGGAAUAAUGAAAUAGGACGUUCGAUCCUAUUUUGUUGGUUUCUAGGAUUGCCGUA